CAGCCGCCGCGGGAAUACGGAGGGGGCUAGCGUUGUUCGGAAUUACUGGGCGUAAAGCGUACGUAGGCGGCUUUGUAAGUUAGAGGUGAAAGCCUGGAGCUCAACUCCAGAAUUGCCUUUAAGACUGCAUCGCUUGAACGUCGGAGAGGUGAGUGGAAUUCCGAGUGUAGAGGUGAAAUUCGUAGAUAUUCGGAAGAACACCAGUGGCGAAGGCGGCUCACUGGACGACUGUUGACGCUGAGGUACGAAAGCGUGGGGAGCAAACAGGAUUAGAUACCCCCGUAGUCCCUGUCUCUUAUAC
rnacentral:rRNA from 1 species